CGCUGGCGGCGUGCCUAACACAUGCAAGUCGAACGGAGUUCCUUGGAUAGAGGCUUCGGCCAAUUGAAUUGGAACUUAGUGGCGGACUGGUGAGUAACGCGUGAGGAACCUGCCUUUCAGAGGGGGACAACAGUUGGAAACGACUGCUAAUACCGCAUGACACAUGAUCGGGGCAUCCCGGACAUGUCAAAGAUUUUAUCGCUGAAAGAUGGCCUCGCGUCUGAUUAGCUAGAUGGCGGGGUAACGGCCCACCAUGGCGACGAUCAGUAGCCGGUCUGAGAGGAUGAACGGCCACAUUGGGACUGAGAUACGGCCCAGACUCCUACGGGAGGCAGCAGUGGGGAAUAUUGGGCAAUGGGGGAAACCCUGACCCAGCAACGCCGCGUGAAGGAAGAAGGCCUUCGGGUUGUAAACUUCUUUUACCAGGGACGAAGAAAGUGACGGUACCUGGAGAAAAAGCAACGGCUAACUACGUG
rnacentral:rRNA from 1 species